rnacentral:tRNA from 1 species
AGUGGUAUUGCUCAGUGGUAGAGUGUGUGCUUAGCAUAAAUGGUCCUGGGUUCAAUCCCCAGUACUUCCA